CUUUACUUUCCUUUUAAUUCGAGUUUCUCUUUUCUUUUCAAAAAGAUUUUCGAAUUUCAAACAAUCCUCAACAAUUUGCAAUUUGAUAUCCGUUCCACAUCGUUUCAAAACACAUCAAAUUCUAGAAUUGGCUCUCUAUAAAUAGAACCCUCUCUUCAUUGUCAAACCAUAGUUUUACACACCACCACUCAGCUAAAAGACAUUUUGAAUUUGAGCUUUGAGUUUGUUUGGUGUUCUAAAGUUCAAAUUUUAAUAUUUUGAGUAUUGAUCUCGUUUUCGUUGGUGAAAAGUAAUCGACUCAACUCUCUCGACAAAAAGAUUGUGAUAUAGAGACUGCUACCCGUCCUCACAUCUUGCGUUGAGGACGUUGUUGUCAGAUUUAGGGUACAGAUUUACAGGACGACGCAUCUGCUCAGUAGGAUUCUUCAUGUAUCAACUUGUUGGUGAGCCCCAUCUCCUACGGGGUUUAGUCAUUCUUCUAUUUUCUUAUGUUAGUCAUGCAUCAGGGUAUGCUGGGGGCCUGGUCCCAGCAAGUAUGUUUUACGAUCCAGACUCAUGAUAGAGGUUUCAUAGACUAGUUAGUUAUGUUAUGUCAGAUAUUUAGAGUUGUUUAGCCAUCUUUGGCUCAAUUCUUGGUAUUUCUGCAUUCAUGUUCUAAACGAGUAUUUUAUUAAUUAUUAUGACUUUAUGUGUUUUCUUAAAGCCCAUCAUAUGUCAUGUUAUAUUCCGCUCAUGUAUGUCUCAUAAUGAUUCAGCAAGCCAUGUGGUUCGCUUGGUCACAUGCAGUAAGGCACCGAGUGUCGUGUUUCACCCAGGCCAUGGUUUGGGGCAUGACAAAGCUUGGUAUUAGAGCCUAGGUUCUAGUGUCUUAGGGAGUCUAUGAAACCAUGUCCAGUGGAGUUUCCUUUAUAUGUGUGUGCCGGCCACAUAUAUAAAUGGUUAACUACCAAGACAUUCUGGAUUGUCUCGCUUGUUUCAUACUCUAGGUCGUGCAAUUAGAGCCAUUCGUUCAUGAACUUUCCUAACUCGUUCCACGAAGCAUAGAACAGUAACAUUCUCUUCCUAUCGAAUUCGGAACGCAUCGAAUGCGCAAGCGACGAGCAGGAAAUCAAAGUUCCAAGUGAGGAUGAUUACCCAUCGGGUGGUGCAUGUUGCUGACAGAUGAGAGUUGAGACGAUAUUGAGAGUGGGACAGAAUUCAUAGUCAUUAUAGACCAGAACAUAACCCUUAUCAGAAAGGACCAAGGCAGUAUCAUGUUUUAUAGUUAUCAGUUCACCUCAGUUAUCAGUUAUACAGUCUUGCAGUUAGCAGGGUUAUGGUUAUUCAGCACACUAAUAUUCAGUUAUUUGGCUAUUAGAUCUUUAAUUUUCAGUGUAUCUGAAUUUUUUUGUGGCAUAUGAGUAUACAGUGAUGCCUAUGGGUGCUAAGAAAAAGUGUAGGUAACGACUACUACAACGAAAU